AAGAAGUUAGUCUAAGGAAAGACAUUUGAUUUCGGCUCAAAAGAUCUUGGUGCAACCCCAAACUUCUUU
rnacentral:tRNA from 1 species